CUUGAAAAUGCCAAUAAUCUUUAUUAAGGUUCAUGUUCGCUUUCAUAAAACUAUAGUGCUGAAGAUCAUUUGGUGUGAUUUAAAGUCAGAUUCUUCGCCAGUGGGCUCAUCUGAAUUUUCCCUGUUCUGUACCAUGGUCAGCGCAGUCUCAAACUUUAAUGAUAUUGAUUUCCUCUUACUUGCAGUAAUCAUUUUCCCACCAGUGGAUGAAUCAUGGGUAAAAGAGAAGUGAACAGCUUACACUGUAGUGGUUGAUUGACUAACCAUACUCCCUGACCAUGACACGCACGGAGAGGUGGGUCACGUCCCAGUCUGUGUACUCGCAUAUCAGCGGUACGUCUACGUCCGUGCACAGCUCCACUGGCGGUUCUCCCGCGACCAGCUCCCUCCUGGUCACAGUGAAGCGAUGCCGGUUCCCCUCGUGCACCUCUGUCCUGAGGGGUGUGUCCUGUGCUGUGUGUCUCUGUACAGCCUCCAGCCCGUUGACGUCACUGUGCAGCUAACGCUUAUGGAGCCGGAUGUGGUAACUCCGCUUGCGCUCACACUGACCACCGCUUCAGCGGGUUUUGUUGGAACGGACACUAACACAGUAAAUAAACUGACGCUCACAUUA